UACAGAGGGGGCAAGCGUUGUUCGGAAUUAUUGGGCGUAAAGAGCUCGUAGGCGGCUUGUCGCGUCGUCCGUGAAAACCCACAGCUCAACUGUGGGCUUGCGGUCGAUACGGGCAGGCUAGAGUUCGGUAGGGGAGACUGGAAUUCCUGGUGUAGCGGUGAAAUGCGCAGAUAUCAGGAGGAACACCGGUGGCGAAGGCGGGUCUCUGGGCCGAUACUGACGCUGAGGAGCGAAAGCGUGGGGAGCGAACAGG
rnacentral:rRNA from 1 species